GACGAACGCUGGCGGCGUGCUUAACACAUGCAAGUCGAACGGAAAGGCCCUGCUUGCAGGGUACUCGAGUGGCGAACGGGUGAGUAACACGUGGGUGAUCUGCCCUGCACUUCGUGAUAAGCCUGGGAAACUGGGUCUAAUACCGGAUAGGAGCCAUUUUUAGUGUGAUGGUUGGAAAGUUUUUUCGGUGUAGGAUGAGCUCGCGGCCUAUCAGCUUGUUGGUGGGGUAAUGGCCUACCAAGGCGGCGACGGGUAGCCGGCUUGAGAGGGUGGACGGCCACAUUGGGACUGAGAUACGGCCCAGACUCCUACGGGAGGCAGCAGUGGGGAAUAUUGCACAAUGGGCGCAAGCCUGAUGCAGCGACGCCGCGUGGGGGAUGACGGCCUUCGGGUUGUAAACUCCUUUCGCUAGGGACGAAGCUUUUUGUGACGGUACCUAGAUAAGAAGCACCGGCUAACUACGUG
rnacentral:rRNA from 1 species